UUAUGCAGAAUUAAUUAAUGAGUUUAAUAAUUUCUUGGGUGUUGAUUUUUUAUGUUAACCCCACUUUUUGGUCUUGUCUUCUGCAACCAAAAAAAAAUUAAAAGGUAUAUCAAUGGCGUCUUCACUAUAGAGAAAGCUCUUACGCACGAUGCUGACGAACCCUAGCUCAAUAAAGAUUUGCAGCUGUCUUCAGUGUUUUUUGGCACAAAAAGCUCUUCAGCCACAGACGAUUUCUCCUUUCCGGAUUCAGAACACACUGAAUUGGUCAAUUUGAUUGAGAGUGAAGGGUAAAGUUGUCCACGUGGAGUAUAUUUGAUUGAGAGUGAAAGGUCUAGAGGACGACGAGACAAGCCAGGUUGAAAGCAAUCGAUAAAAGGUACAGAUGUUUAUUUUGGAGAUCCGUCAGCUUAGGAUUUCCAUUCAGCUAUGUUGGAAGUGCUCCACUAUUCCGGAGCCUAACAUUUGAUGUUGGUCAUUUGAUGUAUAUAUGUGUUUAUUCAGGGGUACGGUGGGGGCCUUAUCCCGCCAUAUGAUGCAGUUAAUUCUCUUAGAGGUCUGUAGACAUGUGUAUGUGGGUUGUUUAUAAGUUUGUUUCAGCUGUGCCUGUAUAUCGUGUUGUAAAGGUUAUUUUGUUAUGGCAACCCUAUCAGCUUGCAUGCCCUUUCAUGUUAUGAUACAAGUGAAAGAGGCUACAGGUAUAUGAAAAGAUUUUGACCCAUUGGGGUUUAUGGGUGUAGUAUCACAGUACGCAUAGUUCAAUUUGGCUAUAUUUGACAGUUACGUAUACGGAGCCCAGGUCAGACCCCAGUCGCGGCCUACGGGGUUGGGUUGUGAUACGUGAGUUAUCAUUGGAUUCGAGAAAAGAUAGAAGACGAAUCUAUGUAGGUUGAAAAAAUCUCUACAACUGAGAAUCCUACAGAUAUGCUGACCAAAGUGGUAACAAGGAACAAGUUCAAUUUGUGCAAAGAACUUGUUGACACGAUCUCUCUCUAAGAAGAUGAAGAUACCUCCUUCUAGUGAAUGAGAUUGGAAGAGUAGAUUUGUGUGGUCCAAUCCCUAUUUCGUUCAACAAAGUGGAGCCGCUCUUUUUUUUUGUCUUUAAUAUUUUAAAUUUAUAAUACAAUUUUU